CUGGACAUUGUAGCAAAAAGGCUACGUGGGCUGCCCUGACGCUGUGAACCCACACAGCUUGCUCCGGCCCAUCCAUCGUCGGCGAGUGACCUGCCGCCCGCCGCCGCCGCCGGCACCCUCCGGCCAUUGCCAAUCGCCGUCCUAACCACCAAUCGCAUUUCCUCCCGCGCACGCGAGCGGGCGCCAUGGCUGGGCAUCUAAGCAAAAAACCAUUUCUCAUCCUCCUCCAACCCCGCCGCCUGUCCACCACCGCCGCAUCUUCCUCGGCCGCCGCGGGAGAACUCGCCCCCGCGUGCGUCGUCAAGGAGAUACCCCACGACGAUGACCUCGCGGAGGAGUCGCGCAGCCGCCUCGUGCGCGACACCUGCAAGCUGCUCGAGCUCCGGGGCUCGUGGACCCCGAAGCUGGAGGCGCAGCUCCGGCACCUGCUCCGGGUGCUCUCCCCGCCGCAGGUCCGCGCCGUGCUCCGCGCGCAGGCGCAGACGGACGCCCGCGCCGCGUUCGAGUUCUUCCGCUGGGCCGACCGCCAGUGGCGCUACCGUCACGCACCGGAGGUGUUCGAUGAAAUGCUGAGCCUCCUCAGCCACACCAGGCUCCACGACCCCGCCCGGCGCGUCAUGCGCCUCAUGAUCCGCCGCCGCAUGAGGCGCGGGACGCAGCAGUUCGCGCACCUCAUGCUCUCGUACAGCCGCGCGGGGAAGCUCCGCUCCGCCAUGCGCGUGCUCCAACUCAUGCAGAAGGACGGGUGCGCACCUGACAUAUCGAUAUGCAAUGUGACAGUGAAUGUGCUUAUUUUUGCCGGGCGCAUUGACAAGGCAAUAGAGUUUGCUGAGCGGAUGCGCCGUGUUGGGGUCGAGCCGGAUGUAGUCACAUACAAUUGCCUUAUCAAGGGGUUAUGUAGUGUGUGGAGGGUUGUUGAGGCGCUAGAGAUGAUCGGUGUAAUGCUGCAAAAUGGGUGCCCACCUGAUAAGAUUACCUAUUAUACAGCCAUGGGCUUCUUGUGCAAGGAGAAGAGGGUGGCAGAGGUGCGGGGUUUGCUUGGGAGGAUGAGGAGUGAUGCGGGUCUAUUUCCAGAUCAGGUCACAUAUAACAUGCUUAUCCAUGUGCUUGCAAAGCAUGGGCAUGCAGAUGAGGCGUUGGAGUUCUUGAGGGAGUCAGAGGGGAAAAGGUUCCGUGUUGAUGAGGUUGGAUAUAGUGCAGUUGUGCACUCUUUCUGCGUGAAUGGGAGGAUGGCUGAGGCAAAGGAGAUUGUAAGUGAGAUGAUCUCAAAAGAAUGUCACCCUGACGUUGUGACAUAUAGCGCAGUUGUUGAUGGGUUCUGCCGGAUCGGGGAAAUUGAUCAAGCAAGAAAGAUGAUGAAGCAUAUGUAUAAGAAUGGCUGCAAGCCAAACAUAGUCACGCAUACUGCGCUGUUAAAUGGUCUCUGCAAAGCUGGGAAAACUUCAGAGGCUUGGGAAUUGCUAAACAACAGUGGAGAGGAAUGGUGGACUCCCAGUGAUAUCACAUACAGUGUUGUAAUGCAUGGGUUUAGAAGAGAAGGGAAACUAAAGGAAUCAUGUGAUGUCGUCGCCCAGAUGUUGCAAAAGGGUUUCUUUCCCACUACUGUGGAGAUUAACUUACUGAUCCAUGCGUUAUGUAAGGAAGGAAAGCCAGGGGAGGCCAAAGACUUCAUGGAGCAGUGCCAAAGCAAAGGUUGUACCAUUAAUGUUAUCAACUUUACUACUGUAAUUCAUGGAUUUUCUCGGCAGGGGGAUUUGGAAUCAGCACUGUCUUUGUUGGAUGACUUGUAUCUCAGCAACAGGCAUCCAGAUGUUGUAACUUAUACUGUUGUUGUGAAUGCUUUGGGAAAGAAAGGUCGGCUGAAAGAAGCGACAGAGCUUGUGAAGAAAAUGCUUAAUAGAGGAAUUGUCCCUACACUUGUUACAUACAGGACAGUGAUACAUAGGUACUGUGAGAAGGGUACAGUGGAAGAAUUACUCGAUCUACUGGAUAAGAUGUUAGCAAGACAAGAGCUUAAGAGUGUAUACAAUCAGGUCAUCGAGAAGCUAUGUGCAUUAGGUAAAAUAAAUGAAGCUUACAGUCUCCUCAGCAAGGUACUGAGAACUGCCUCACAGAGAGACGCUCAGACAUGCCACAUUCUGAUGGAGAGUUUUCUUAAUAGAGGUCUCGCAGUUCAGUCAAACAAUGUGGCGUGCCAGAUGUUUCAGAGAAAUUUAAUUCCUGAUAUUAAAUUGUGUCAAAAAGUUGACAAUCAGCUGACCUUAGAGAAACAACAAACUUCUGGAAAGCUUAUAGUUAAGUUUUUAGAAAGAGGUCUUCUGAAACAAGAAAAUUGGUAACGUUUCAUGCUUCAUGCUCAUACCCCUGCACCUGUCACCAACUUAUUCACAACCAGUCAAUAGACUGGUAGGUAUGGAACCUGAAGACUGAGUGAAACACUUAAGGGGAGGAGACAAUGGAGGGAG